rnacentral:rRNA from 11 species
CCACCCUUUAAUGUUUGAUGUUCUAACGUGGACCCGUGAUCCGGGUUGCGGACAGUGUCUGGUGGGUAGUUUGACUGGGGCGGUCUCCUCCUAAAGAGUAACGGAGGAGCACGAAGGUUGGCUAAUCCUGGUCGGACAUCAGGAGGUUAGUGCAAUGGCAUAAGCCAGCUUGACUGCGAGCGUGACGGCGCGAGCAGGUGCGAAAGCAGGUCAUAGUGAUCCGGUGGUUCUGAAUGGAAGGGCCAUCGCUCAACGGAUAAAAGGUACUCCGGGGAUAACAGGCUGAUACCGCCCAAGAGUUCAUAUCGACGGCGGUGUUUGGCACCUCGAUGUCGGCUCAUCACAUCCUGGGGCUGAAGUAGGUCCCAAGGGUAUGGCUGUUCGCCAUUUAAAGUGGUACGCGAGCUGGGUUUAGAACGUCGUGAGACAGUUCGGUCCCUAUCUGCCGUGGGCGCUGGAGAACUGAGGGGGGCUGCUCCUAGUACGAGAGGACCGGAGUGGACGCAUCACUGGUGUUCGGGUUGUCAUGCCAAUGGCACUGCCCGGUAGCUAAAUGCGGAAGAGAUAAGUGCUGAAAGCAUCUAAGCACGAAACUUGCCCCGA